AUGGCAGAGUCGGACGGUGCCGAGUACCGCUGCUUCGUCGGCAGCCUGUCCUGGAACACCGACGACCGCGGCCUCGAGGCUGCUUUCAGCCCCUUCGGCGAGAUCCUCGACGCCAAGAUCAUCAACGAUCGCGAGACGGGGAGGUCCCGCGGCUUCGGGUUCGUCAGCUUCUCCAGCGAGCAGGCGAUGCAGGACGCCAUCGAGGGGAUGAACGGUAAGGAGCUCGACGGCCGCAGCAUCGUUGUCAACGAGGCCCAGUCCCGCGGGUACGGCGGCGGGGGUGGCGGCGGAGGUGGUGGCAGGUACGGCGGUGGUGGCGGGUAUGGCCAGCGCCGCGACGAUGGCUACGGGGAUGACGGCUACGGCGGUGGCCGGGGUUACGGAGGCGGACGCUAUGGCGGUGGCAGGGGGUACGGCGGGCGGCGUGACGGCGGCUACGGCCGCGGAGGCAACUCCGACGGAUACUGA
rnacentral:rRNA from 1 species